rnacentral:misc_RNA from 1 species
AAGUCGUAACAAGGUUUCCGUAGGUGAACCUGCGGAAGGAUCAUUAACAAAUCAUUUGUGGUGCGGGAGCAAUCCCCAUCAUAUCAACCCGAACCCGCGCUUCGGCCGGGCAAGGUGUGUGCUCUUUGGCUCCUUAAAACGGGCCUAGAGGGCACGCGGUGAAGAUCAAGGCUUAGGCUGCGGUCCGAUCCACAUAGACGCUUGUAUGUUUGACAGAGUUAGUUGACACUUUAAAAUGACAACUUUUAACAAUGGAUCUCUUGGCUCUU